UACGGGGGGGGCAAGCGUUGUUCGGAAUUACUGGGCGUAAAGGGCGCGUAGGCGGCUCGCUAAGUUGGAUGUGAAAACUCUGGGCUUAACCCAGAGCCUGCAUCCAAAACUGGCAAGCUUGAGUACUGGAGGGGAAAGCGGAAUUCCUGGUGUAGCGGUGAAAUGCGUAGAUAUCAGGAGGAACACCGGUGGCGAAGGCGGCGACCUGGGUUGACAUUGACGCUGAGGCGCGAAAGCGUGGGGAGCAAACAGG
rnacentral:rRNA from 1 species